GACGAACGCUGGCGGCGUGCCUAAUACAUGCAAGUCGAGCGGACCAAAGGGAGCUUGCUCCUGGAGGUCAGCGGCGAACGGGUGAGUAACACGUGGGCAACCUGCCUGUAAGACUGGGAUAACAUCGAGAAAUCGGUGCUAAUACCGGAUAAUAAAAAGAACUGCAUGGUUCUUUUUUGAAAGAUGGUUUCGGCUAUCACUUACAGAUGGGCCCGCGGCGCAUUAGCUAGUUGGUGAGGUAACGGCUCACCAAGGCAACGAUGCGUAGCCGACCUGAGAGGGUGAUCGGCCACACUGGGACUGAGACACGGCCCUGACUCCUACGGGAGGCAGCAGUAGGGAAUCUUCCGCAAUGGACGAAAAGUCUGACGGAGCAACGCCGCGUGAGUGAUGAAGGUUUUCGGAUCGUAAAACUCUGUUGUUAGGGAAGAACAAGUGCCGUUCGAAAGGGCGGCACCUUGACGGUACCUAACGAGAAAGCCACGGCUAACUACGUGCCAGCAGCCGACGG
rnacentral:rRNA from 1 species